ACCCUAUAAAAGUCUGAGGCAGCCCCAGGAGGACCUCUGCUGCACAGCUCUCUCCCCGAGACGUGAGGUUCAGGCCACCCCGCCAUGAGGCUUCUGGUCGUCUCCAGGCUGCUCUGCAUUUUGCUCCUCUGCUUCUCCAUCUUCUCCACAGAAGGGAGAAAAAAUUCUAGUCAUCUCAGCAGGCCCUGGAAACGCAGACCGUGCUGUUCCCGAGUUCCUAACCCUGCCCUGACGACCCGGAAAGGGCGCCGUGUGAGGAUCUGCAGACUGUGUAACUUCAAGCCAGAGUCCCGGCUUUGGGUGGUACCUGGGGCUCUCCCGCAAGUGUAAUGUUCCCCAGACAAGACUGCAUGCAGCUGAGACCCUCAUGCCCAGUGCCCAAGACCUCCAGAAGUCUUGGGUUCUCCCAGGAUGCUCCUCUUGAAGCUGGGGCUGAUGGCAAAGAUGUCAAGAGCUUUGGCCCAUGGAAGCUUCUGCCCAUGAACCACGAACCUCUUCUCUUAAAGACACAACAUUUCUUGCCUGCCG